rnacentral:rRNA from 1 species
AUGCCUAAUCUGGUUCAUGUCUUAGUUUGGAGGAAGGCUGGGGCAAGCAAUAUCUUCAACAAUUACACUGAAAAGCACUUGAUGGUGGUUGUCCUCGAGCUUCAUAGAGUAGCGGCUGGGUGUUAUUCACAUGUCGUAAAUCUGGAACUGGCAAUCCUGAAGUUGUAUGAAAUGGUGAGUGUCAGUCCGAACAUAACCCCAAGAACAUGGGAUCCUCAAACUCUACUUUUUGGUUAUGUGCUUCGCAUACACCUCCCUUUCCUGGGUGUAUGUGUUGGCCGUGAGGGGACCCAUGACAGGACAAGCUUUCUUCUCUUGGUAUUUGAGCUGAUACACCAUAGAGGAUAUGGAAUUUCAUUUCCCUCAAUUGUUGUUUAUCAGUUCCUGAGUGCCCUUUAUGUGGUUCAACACAUGAGUGGGAUGAUGCUUGAUUUUUCAAAAGAUUGGUUGUAUUUACACUUCCUGGAGUCACAUAUCAGAUGGUUGUCACAUCUUACAACAUUUCUACCUUGUGUUGACAUAAAAGUUCAGCCCAGAGAGGUGUAUUCAAUUGUUGGAGUCACAUCACUAUAUGCAAAAGGAAAUGAAGUAUUUACUAGAGGACCUCACCACAUUAUUCACUUUCACUUUCCAUGGAAGAUAUUUGUUGUAGUGCAUAUCCUUACCAGCUUAUCUAACUUCCUUGAGGGCAACACUGAGAAAUUGUUGAUUGCUCCUCUAUAUUAUUCUGAACACCUCCAAUUGGUACCUGCAUGGGAAAUCAUUAAUGGUUUCAAGUGUAUUCAAUGA